rfam:Bradyrhizobium manausense strain BR3351 contig1939, whole genome shotgun sequence.
CAGUGGAGGAAGGAUCCACCCAGAGAGUUGUCGAUUGAUCUGGUAGCUGACGAGCGGUUUGGACGAGCAAUCGGACGGAUCGAAGCCUCGUGACAAAGGUCGCUUUAGGCGGCCGAGCAAUCCAGCGGGGCGCGCAGCCAUG